UACGUAGGGUGCAAGCGUUGUCCGGAAUUAUUGGGCGUAAAGAGCUCGUAGGCGGUCUGUUACGUCGGCUGUGAAAACCUGGGGCUCAACCCCGGGCCUGCAACCGAUACGGGCAGACUAGAAUUCGGUAGGGGAGACUGGAAUUCCUGGUGUAGCGGUGGAAUGCGCAGAUAUCAGGAGGAACACCAGUGGCGAAGGCGGCUUCCUGGCCUGUUCUUGACGCUGAGGCGCGAAAGCUAGGGGAGCAAACGGG
rnacentral:rRNA from 1 species